GACGAACGCUGGCGGCAUGCCUAAUACAUGCAAGUCGAACGCUGAAGCACCCUGCUUGCAGAGUGCGGAUGAGUGGCGAACGGGUGAGUCACACGUGGGGAAUCUGCCUAUAAGUGGGGGAUAACAUUCGGAAACGGAUGCUAAUACCGCAUAUAUUCUUGGACCGCCUGGUCCUUGAAAGAAAGACGGCUUUGCUGUCGCUUAUAGAUGAUUCCGCGGCGUGUUAUUUAGUUGGUGGGGUAAAGGCCUAUCAAGACAAUGAUACGUAGACGACCUGAGAGAGUGGUCGGCCACACUGGGACUGGGACACGGCCCAGACUCCUACGGGAGGCAGCAGUAGGGAAUCUUACACAAUGGGCGGAAGCCUGAUGGAGCAAUGCCGCGUGAAUGAAGAAGGUCUUCGGAUCGUAAAGUUCUGUUAUUAGAGAAAAACAAGUCAAGGAAUAAAUGUCUUGUCUUUGACGGUACCUAACCAGAAAGUCACGGCUAACUACGUG
rnacentral:rRNA from 1 species